UGGGAAUUGUAAGAGCUUGUAGAUUUAGUAGACGGAGGAUCAAGUUUUUUGUUUUUGCUGUUUUUUGGGGGGCACCGGAGCUCGAAUUCAGGACCUUGCACUUUCAAGGCAGGCACGGUGCCACUGAGCUAAACCCCCAGCCCUCAAGUUUGUUUUUAAUAGUCAAAAGUGUUCCUUAUUUCAUUUAUAAAAGUUUUUAGGUGUCAUUAAUAAUUUUACGUAAUAAGAGCAUUCACCUAAGACAUUUGAUAUUAUACUUAAAAUAUUAUUCUUUAUCUAAUUAUUUUCCAGAAGCACUUUUACUGAGCACCCACCAAGUCAAAAGGAGCAUUUCAAGUGCUCUGGAACCUUCUGCUUUCAUUUACUAAUAAUCCUCAAACAGAAUGUCUGCUUCCGACAUUGGCUUCUGAAAUAGAACAGAAUCUUAAUUAGCUCAUGAGAAACUCCUACUUAAGUAGUCUUAGAGCAAAUGGACUCAUUUCCUUCUCUAAUAGAUCCUCCUGUUGUUUGACUGUGAUGAGAAUGGUCUUUUAAAAGAGGCCUCAGGUGUGAAACCAACUGUUCAGGCUCAUUGUCAGCUGCCGGCUCCUAGAGUAUUAAUUCAAAAUUAGCGAAAAUAUAAGACUAUGUCUACAUUGGCCAACUCUACUGCAAAAUUGAGCAAUUUUCAGUUAAGGGUGCAGCAUCCUCUACAAUGCCCUUGAGGAAGAUUCAGAAGCUCAUUCUACUUCCAUCUGCUUCCAUCAUUAGAGAAAGAAGUUGAUUAAUUCAACCUCUCUAACAAUAAGAACGGAUGCUGUUAAACUAAAAGGGUGGUGGUGAUCCAACUUCAUUCACGGUAGAUGAGAAACUCCUGGGGGGAUGGCAGAAAAACAGAAAGUAUUUUGCAGGAAGAAGAGCCUUCUCAUGGGAAAGUUGUUGAAUUUGGUCCGAAUAAACAGGGUUUGCCUAUGCAGCGAUGGUUUUUUGGGAGAAGGUUUUUCUGUUAUUUGUAUUAGCUGAUCUUCAUCAUAAUAAAAUGACCUUGGAUGGGUAACUUUUCUGACUUAGACUGGCGUGGAUAAUAACUGAGAAUUUCUAAGUACCCUAUCUAUUGCUCAAUUGUGAAGAGCUAAUUGAAUCAUUACAUAUUAAAAUAUAGUCCUCUGAAAAUUUGUGACAUUUGCUUCUAGCAAAAAUGGUGUCUGACGUAUUUUUGUAAAUUGCCUGAAAAUGAAUAUCAAAAAUCAAUGAUGAAUUGAAAGAAAAGAGUACCUAGCCUAAGUGCUAAUUGUUUUUCCAAAUUAAAAUUGUGUAAUAAGAUCUUCAGUUUCUUAAGAUCAUUUUAAAGAAAAUGUCUAUCAAUUUCCCUUUACUUGAGAGCAUUUUUAAACUAAAAACAAUUAAGUUUUUGAGAUAGAUUUAAUUUUUACAUCUUUUAAGUACCAGUAUAAACAUCUGCCAUCUGGCAUAGAAAUUACCUCAUAUGGCAGGAGGAGAGAUGAAUUUAUUUAAAAGUUCUUUGUCUUUGAUACUUUUCCCUGCUGCAUUUUCCACUAGUGUAAUUUGAACCUGACUGUAUUUAAAUAACCAUUUAUCGGCAUAAUGGAAGAGCGGACUUAAAAAUACAUAACUGCUGUCAUUCCAGGAAUCUGUAUUAAGGAAACAUAGAAUUUGCCAUUCUAGAUCAGACCAUUAGUCUAUCUUGUCUAACCCUUGCCUCUGGCUGUGGCCGACACCGAAGACAAUGGAGAAAAACAGAAAAAUGCAACCAUUUUUUAGGGAAAUAAUUAUUUUCUCAGCUGGUAAUCUUACAGUAUAGGAUAUUAGUAUGGAAUUACCCCCACCUGUUUAUAUGAUUAAUUUUAUCAGUGUAUAAACUAGCAAAUUCUGUUAAAGUUAUUUUUCCAAAUUAUACUUGAUUAGUUAUGAAAUCUAUAUGAAAUAAUCUUUAUGAGACACUUGUUAUUUUUUUUAAUGCCUUCAAUUUUAAGUAUGAGGAAAGUGUGGGAAAGUUCAGGCAAAAAUAGCCAAAUCCUUCAAUUUUGACUGGUACUUCAAAGUCUGGAUAAAAAUAUAGUUACUACAAAAGUUCAGCUUGCAGGUCCAGAAGACAAUCUAAUACUAUCUAAUUGUGUACUAAAGUCAUGAUUGAUAGUAGCAGAAUAAUCCUCUGUUAACAGGUUGGUUGAAUAUAGGCCUACAAAUUUUUAUCUUCCUUGAUGACUCACCAAUGUCAUUGGAAGAAUAUUACAGCAACAAAUUCAUCUCUUGAUCUGUCUUUGAAGUUACAGGUACAUGAAAUGAACAAAACACCUGGAGCUCAUACACACACAGGUGCACUCUCACCUGCACAUACUCAGGAAUGUGCACACCAUCCCACUCGGCUCCUCUCUCCAGUGUUCCGGUCACAUCACUUCUUGGUGUCUCUGGAGCCCGUUACAUGUCUUCACUUUCUCCUCUGUUAGUCACCUCCCUACUCUCCCUAAGGGAAUAUAAGUGACUUUCCUUUGUGAUUACAUAAAUUAUGCUCAUUCUUCUAUAAGACUACCACAACAAUCCCUCAAGGAAUUAUAGGUGCAUAAAAUUUGUGUACACAUUCAGACAACUUCUCACCUGGACCAUAAAAUAUAAAACAGCUUUUUUGUCUUCUUAUCUCUUUCAAAACCAGAAAGAAGAUUGAAGGUCAAAAUGAAUCUUUGUUAAUUAGCAGACUUGCUAAAUUACAAGCACCACUGUUGAUGUGACUACCUGUUGUGAAUAAAUCUUCUUUUUACAUAAUUUACAUAAUUUGGAAACUCUAGGAUCAGGAAUCCAACCAGGACUUAACAGGCCC
rnacentral:lncRNA from 1 species